GAUGAACGCUGGCGGCGUGCUUAAUACAUGCAAGUCGAACGAGGGAUUAGAAAUAGUUCCUAGUGGCGAACGGGUGAGUAACGCGUUGGUGACCUGUCCCGAAGAGGGGGAUAACAGCUCGAAAGGGCUGCUAAUACCCCAUGUGGUUAUCGAGGUUAGAGGCUUGGUAACUGAAGGAGCAAUCCGCUUUGGGAGGGGCCUGCGUCCCAUCAGCUAGUUGGCAGGGUAAAAGCCUACCAAGGCGAAGACGGGUAGGGGGCCUGAGAGGGUGACCCCCCACACUGGCACUGAAACACGGGCCAGACACCUACGGGUGGCAG
rnacentral:rRNA from 1 species